GUCGAACGGCAGCACGGGUGCUUGCACCUGGUGGCGAGUGGCGAACGGGUGAGUAAUACAUCGGAACAUGUCCUGUAGUGGGGGAUAGCCCGGCGAAAGCCGGAUUAAUACCGCAUACGAUCUACGGAUGAAAGCGGGGGACCUUCGGGCCUCGCGCUAUAGGGUUGGCCGAUGGCUGAUUAGCUAGUUGGUGGGGUAAAGGCCUACCAAGGCGACGAUCAGUAGCUGGUCUGAGAGGACGACCAGCCACACUGGGACUGAGACACGGCCCAGACUCCUACGGGAGGCAGCAGUGGGGAAUUUUGGACAAUGGGCGAAAGCCUGAUCCAGCAAUGCCGCGUGUGUGAAGAAGGCCUUCGGGUUGUAAAGCACUUUUGUCCGGAAAGAAAUCCCUGGUUCUAAUAUAGCCGGGGGAUGACGGUACCGGAAGAAUAAGCACCGGCUAACUACGUGCCAGCAGCCGCGGUAAUACGUAGGGUGCGAGCGUUAAUCGGAAUUACUGGGCGUAAAGCGUGCGCAGGCGGUUUGCUAAGACCGAUGUGAAAUCCCCGGGCUCAACCUGGGAACUGCAUUGGUGACUGGCAGGCUAGAGUAUGGCAGAGGGGGGUAGAAUUCCACGUGUAGCAGUGAAAUGCGUAGAGAUGUGGAGGAAUACCGAUGGCGAAGGCAGCCCCCUGGGCCAAUACUGACGCUCAUGCACGAA
rnacentral:rRNA from 1 species